AUACCAGUCAGAAUAGCUACUAUUAAAAAAUCGAAAAACAACAGAUCUUUGGAGGCUGUGGAGAAAAGGGAACAUUUACACAUAAUUGGACCAAAAAGACAUACGCACUUGCAUGUUCAUCGCAGCACUAUUCACAAUAGCAAAGACAUGGAGUCAGCCAGGUCUUGUUUUUAAUCAAUUUACCCAUUCUCUGUCUUCUUACUGGAUAGUUUAAUCUAUUUCCAUUCAAGGUAAUUAUUGAUAGAUAAGGACUUGUACUGCCAUAUACUGUUUUCUUGUUGU
rnacentral:lncRNA from 1 species